rnacentral:rRNA from 1 species
GAGUUUGAUCUUGGCUCAGAAUUAACGCUGGCAGAGUGCAUAACACAUGCAAGUCGAGCGGGACUACCUGAGAUUACAUCAACUGGUAGUCUAGCGGCAGACGAGUGAGUAACACGUAGGCAAUCUACCCUUGAAUGGUGAACAACCAGCCGAAAGGUUGGCUAAUACACCGUACUCUCCCUUGGAGGCAUCUCCGAGGGAGGAGAGCAGCAAUGCGUUCUUGGAGGAGCCUGCGGCCCAUCAGCUAGUUGGCGGUGUAAUAGACCACCAAGGCUACGACGGGUACCCGGCCUGAAAGGGCGGACGGGCACGAUGGCACUGAGACACGGGCCAUACUCCUACGGGAGGCAGCAGUGGGGAAUUUUGGACAAUGGGCGAAAGCCUGAUCCAGCAACUCUGCGUGAGGGACGAAGGUCUUCGGAUUGUAAACCUCUUUUACUUGGGAAGAAAUCCUUGAAUUCUUUCGAGGUUGACGGUACCAUAGGAAUAAGCACCGGCUAACUCCGUGCCAGCAGCC